rnacentral:ncRNA from 1 species
GAACGCCGUAUGCGGUGAAAGUCGCACGUACGGUGUGAAGCGGGGGAAAAGAUAACCCAAACAUUACAGAUUUUCUAAUGUAGAUGUGGGUGAAUCUUACCUAUCGCUAC